GGGGCUCUCUCCAUGUUAGAGAUUGCUAUGAUUUCAUACGUGUAGUUUAAAAUUUUUUUAAAAAUUUAUGUAAUAAAAAUAAAUAAAUUAAAAUAUUUUUAAUUUAAAAUAUGUAUCAGAUCUGAUCUAAAAGCUAUGCUUAGGAUCUUGACACGAACAUAUAGGGUUUCAGGGUGGGCAUGCACAGUGAAAACAUAAUGAAUUUCAAAAUUUUAAUAAAGAAAUCUUAAAUAUUAAACCCUUAAACCAG
rnacentral:lncRNA from 1 species